rnacentral:rRNA from 1 species
ACAAGCAGUGGAGUAUGUGGUUUAAUUCGAAGCAACGCGAAGAACCUUACCAGGGCUUGACAUCCCUUGAAGCAGCUAGAGAUAGCUGUGUCCUUCGGGACAAGGAGACAGGUGGUGCAUGGGUUGUCGUCAGCUCGUGUCGUGAGAUGUUGGGUUAAGUCCCGCAACGAGCGCAACCCCUACGUUUAGUUGCUAACGCGUGAAGGCGAGCACUCUAGACGAACUGCCGUUGACAAAACGGAGGAAGGUGGGGAUGACGUCAAAUCAUCAUGCCCCUUAUGUUCUGGGCUACACACGUGCUACAAUGGCCGGUACAGACGGACGCAAAGCCGCGAGGUGGAGCAAAUCCUAAAAAGCCGGUCUCAGUUCGGAUUGCAGGCUGCAAUUCGCCUGCAUGAAGUCGGAAUCGCUAGUAAUCGCAGGUCAGCAUACUGCGGUGAAUACGUUCCCGGGCCUUGC